CAACGACCUAGAUCGCAUCCCACGCACAUGGACGACCCAAAUAUGUUUCCUCUUCAUGCGCGAUCGAAUGACUAGAUUUGAUCAGAUCGUGCGGUUCAGAUUAACUCUCCAAAUAAGAGAGAUCCAAUGGCUGAGGAUGAGCUAUGUCAUCUCGAACGGACAACCCAGAUUUAAUGAAGAUGAGUAUCUAAACUCCUCUUCGUAGGGAAACAAAACCCAGCCGACAGAAAAGUGAUUCGAGAAGAAGAAGGGGGC
rnacentral:lncRNA from 1 species